UGCGUAGGCGGAAUAUUAAGUCAGUGGUGAAAUCCUGCGGCUCAACCGUAGAACUGCCAUUGAUACUGAUAUUCUUGAAUGUAGUUGAGGUAGGCGGAAUGUGUAAUGUAGCGGUGAAAUGCUUAGAUAUUACACAGAACACCGAUUGCGAAGGCAGCUUACUAAACUAUGAUUGACGCUGAGGCACGAAAGCGUGGGGAGCGAACAGGAUUAGAUACCCUGGUAGUCC
rnacentral:rRNA from 1 species